rnacentral:rRNA from 1 species
UACGGAGGGGUCCAGCGUUGCUCGGAAUUAUUGGGCGUAAAGGGCGCGUAGGCGGCUUGGUAAGUUUGAUGUGAAAUCCCAUGGCUCAACCAUGGAACUGCAUCUCAUACUGCCGAGCUAGAGUCUGGGAGAGGGAAGCGGAAUUCCGAGUGUAGAGGUGAAAUUCGUAGAUAUUCGGAAGAACACCAGUGGCGAAGGCGACUUACUGGACACAUAUUGACGCUGAGGUGCGAAAGCGUGGGGAGCAAACAGG